rnacentral:tRNA from 1 species
GGGUAUAUAGGUCAGUGGUGGAGUGCAUGCCUAGUAUGCAUAAGGUCCUGGGCUCAAUCCCCAGUACCUCCA